AAAUGAUUCACGAAACGCGAUUCGGAGUCCCGAUCUGAAUCAAAUGUUUUGCGCACUCGCUCCGAAGCCCCGAUCAAAUGAUUCACGAAACGCGAUUCGGAGUCCCGAUCUGAAUCAAAUGUUUUGCGCACUCGCUCCGAAGCCCCGAUCAAAUGAUUCGCGAAACGCGCUUCGGAGUCCCGAUCUGAAUCAAAUGAUUCGCGAAACGCGCUUCGGAGUCCCGAUCUGAAUCAAAUGUUUUGCGCACUCGCUCCGAAGCCCCGAUCAAAUGAUUCACGAAACGCGAUUCGAAGUCCCGAUCUGAAUCAAAUGUUUUGCGCACUCGCUCCGAAGCCC
rnacentral:lncRNA from 1 species